rnacentral:lncRNA from 1 species
GUGAUUCAUGUAUGUAUCGGUUGUUUUUGGCUAUAUUGGGAAAAAAAAGACCAUGCAAAGUUCAAAAACAGGCUGGUCGAUGUAACCUCAUCUCGUAUUUGGGUCAACAAAGACGUUUCUAACUGGACCAAACCAUCUAGUGCAGAAGGACCUGUUGGGUAUGGAUUAACACACCCAUUUUGUACAGAUUGUUCUGGAUGUAACAGUGCACUUUUUAGUUGUGGAGAAAUCAAAACUGAAUAUAUCUCAGUUGAAUAUGCACGAGAUGUUGAAAUCCAGUCAACAAUCGGGAAUACUACACAAGAAGCCGUUUCUCUGUACUUCAAUUCAAACUUUACAAAUGUAUGCGUGGUUAAUUCUGGUUUUCAUGACAUGGUUCUACCAGCCCUAACAGAUCAACUUUAUGUUAAGAACGUGCAAUUCUAUGUGCAACAUCUGGUCCACACAUGUCAGAAUGUAAUUUGGAUUUCCACGACAGCAGUUAGAGGUGACAAAGGAUUUCUUCAAAAUAAUCGCAGAAUUCAACUGUGGAAUAGAUUAAUUAAAGAAAUGUUACGUAACAAGUUUCCAAAAGUAGGUUUUAUGGAUUUUUUCCCUAUUUCUAAUUCAACAAAAGC